AGUCUUGUAGUUUAAUAAAAACUUUAAAUUGCAAAUUUAAAAAUGUUGGGAAUAUCUAAGACUU
rnacentral:tRNA from 1 species